CUUAUCCUUCUUUCUUAGAUCUCUUGGGAAUAUCUCUGCAACAUAAAACAAAUUGACAGUGAAAAACAACUCGCUCUUGGUCUGUUCCAUGGGAUCGGACGAGUGAUUCUGCUUCUUCAGCGCAAUGCUCACGGACCCCGCCGUGCACAGCAAGAUGACGAGUCCCACCACACUGUGCUUGCGCAGCCCGGUCAUCGCUGCUGAAGAGAUCUUGGAGCUCG